rnacentral:rRNA from 1 species
CCUACGGGGAGCAGCAGUGGGGAAUAUUGCACAAUGGGGGAAACCCUGAUGCAGCGACGCCGCGUGAGUGAAGAAGUAUUUCGGUAUGUAAAGCUCUAUCAGCAGGGAAGAAAAUGACGGUACCUGAUUAAGAAGCCCCGGCUAACUACGUGCCAGCAGCCGCGGUAAUACGUAGGGGGCAAGCGUUAUCCGGAUUUACUGGGUGUAAAGGGAGCGUAGACGGCAGCACAAGUCUGGAGUGAAAUGCCGGGGCUUAACCCCGGAACUGCUUUGGAAACUGUGCAGCUAGAGUGCAGGAGAGGUAAGUGGAAUUCCUAGUGUAGCGGUGGAAUGCGUAGAUAUUAGGAGGAACACCAGUGGCGAAGGCGGCUUACUGGACUGUAACUGACGUUGAGGCUCGAAAGCGUGGGGAGCAAACAGGAUUAGAUACCCGAGUAGUC